UACAGAGGGUGCGAGCGUUGUCCGGAAUCACUGGGCGUAAAGGGCGCGUAGGCGGCCUGGUAAGCGUGUGGUGAAAUCUCUGGGCUCAACUCAGAGUCUGCCAUAGAAACUGUAGUGCUAGAGUGUGGGAGAGGUGAGUGGAAUUCCCGGUGUAGCGGUGAAAUGCGUAGAUAUCGGGGGGAACACCUGUGGCGAAAGCGGCUCACUGGACCACAACUGACGCUGAGGCGCGAAAGCUAGGGGAGCAAACAGG
rnacentral:rRNA from 1 species